rnacentral:misc_RNA from 1 species
ACUUUGCGCACCUUAUAACACAAGGCUGUUUG